CGGGCGACCAGGCUCCUCCAGUGGCCAGUGGCGAGGUUGGUUCCGCCACAGCUGCGUCUGUCAGCGUAGUGUCAAGAGCGUGGAGGCGCUACCAGGAGACAGGCCAGUACAUCAGGAGACGUCGAGGAGGCCGUAGGAGGCCAACAACCCAGCAGCAGGACCGCUACCUCUGCCUUUGUGCAAGGAGAAACAGGAGGAGCACUGCCAGAGCCCUGCAAAAUGACCUCCAGAAGGCCACAAAUGUGCAUGUGUCUGCUUAGACAGUCAGAAACAGACUUCAUGAGGGUGGUAUGAGGGCCCGAAGUCCACAGGUGGGGGUUGUGCUUACAGCCCAACACCGUGC